AACGAACGCUGGCGGCAUGCCUAACACAUGCAAGUCGAACGAGACCUUCGGGUCUAGUGGCGCACGGGUGCGUAACGCGUGGGAACCUGCCCUUAGGUUCGGAAUAACUCCCCGAAAGGGGUGCUAAUACCGGAUAAUGUCUUCGGACCAAAGAUUUAUCGCCUUUGGAUGGGCCCGCGUUGGAUUAGCUAGUUGGUAGGGUAAAAGCCUACCAAGGCGACGAUCCAUAGCUGGUCUGAGAGGAUGAUCAGCCACACUGGGACUGAGACACGGCCCAGACUCCUACGGGAGGCAGCAGUGGGGAAUAUUGGACAAGGGGCGAAAGCCUGAUCCAGCAAUGCCGCGUGAGUGAUGAAGGCCUUAGGGUUGUAAAGCUCUUUUACCCGGGAUGAUAAUGACAGUUCCGGGAGAAUAAGCUCCGGGUAACUCCGUG
rnacentral:rRNA from 1 species